CGGCGAGUGAAGCGGGAUGAGCUCAAGCUUAAAAUCUCUGUGCAGGUUCUGCAUGGCGAAUUGUAGUCUAUGGAGGCGAUGUCAGUGCGGUUGUGCGGGAUAAGUUCCUUGGAAGAGGACAGCAUCGAGGGUGAUACUCCCGUAUGUGCCUGUACAGCUGCGCGUACGACACGUUUUCUUUGAGUCGCGUUGUUUGGGAAUGCAGCGCAAAGUAGGUGGUAAAUUCCAUCUAAAGCUAAAUAUUGGUGCGAGACCGAUAGCGAACAAGUACCGUGAGGGAAAGAUGAAAAGAACUUUGAAAAGAGAGUUAAAGAGUACCUGAAACUGCUGAAAGGGAAUCGAAUCGUUUCCAGUGUCUAUAAUCCAUGACAUAUUUCAUUGGCGCGUGAAUGCGUGCAGCGUUUUGGAAGUGGGUUUCCUCUCCUGGCGUUGUUGUGCGUUUGCUUGCUGGUGCCCUGUGUUGUGGUGGGACGUCAGAGUCAGUUCGUAUGCCGCGGGAAAUGGCUGUCAGGGAGGUAGGUCGCUUCGGUGAUUGUUAUAGCCUGGCAGUUAGUAGUCGUGGUUGGGACUGAGGUGCCUACAACGCGCUUUCGAGUCUGCGGGACUCUCGUCUGGUUGCCUGCUUGGACAGCUUGCUGUGCUAGUGGUCACAUCGGGCGAUUGAGAUCUGUAGUAACUUGUUGCCGU
rnacentral:rRNA from 1 species